GCCGGCUGUUGUUUUUACAGCAAGGCUCGCCUGAAAUUAAUGAGCAGUUUCUUCUUUAGAAACUUGGCUUGACUUGGCGUAAUAAAUAUUCCGCUGAGGACAACCUCUCGAGGUUGGCCAAUUCUUUUGAGGAUGGGCUUCUAAUGAAAUAAUUUAAACUCUUUGACCUCGAAUCAGGUAGGACUACCCGCUGAACUUAA
rnacentral:misc_RNA from 1 species